rnacentral:lncRNA from 1 species
UUCGGCCUCCCAAAGUACUGGGAUUACAGGCGUGAGCACCUGUGCCCGGCCACACCAUUAUUUUGAAGAGAAAAUUUGAUAAAAAUAAUUGGUCAGUUGUAAAGAUGGUUAACUACCCAACUGGUAAGAGAGAUUUCUAAGAGUUACAGAAUAGCAACUGCAGGAAGGAACUUGUGCCCUUAGGACUGAGGAAGUAAAAAGGAGGGAAACUUGGAAACACGAAAGAGCCCUUCCCCUUUCAAUUCAAGGUGGAGACUGGACCUCAGAAGAGGGAGUGGGUGCCCCGAGAACUCACAGCUAGCGGACAGUGGAAAGGGCAGGAGCCGGACCAAGUGUUCAUCCAUCGCCCUGUAUUAGCGAAGAACAACAUCAAGCUGGCUAGCAAGGAACUGUAUACAGGGUCCAGCUGGGUAUCACACUGGAUCUCACCCAAAGCUUAGAUGUGAUCCAGCUCAGUAUCACAAAGCAGAACGAAAAGGAUGUGUUUGGGCUGAGAGGCCAUACAUUGGCUCCGGCAUGACGGGUGACUUCUUCCGAGUCUGGCUUCUGCAGCACACAGGGCUUCGCCAGCACCCAGCUCCUGCAGCAUGGGCAGCUCCUGUGACAGCAGGCGCCCGCAGCCUGCAAAGCGUCUCCAGUGCCGCCGCCUCAGUGAACCUCAACCAGCGGCACCUAGCAGCUUUCUCUGCCACCCUCUUCAGGUCUGGAUCUAAGCCCAGGGACCAGGAAACCUCUUGCUUGAGUGCUGGAACUCAGGCCAGAAGGCAGGAAGCCCGCCUGACCCCAUGUCUCAGGCUGCCAGAGGAGCGUGCGAUGAGGAAGGCUGGACUGUCUUCACAGGACACCAGGGAGAAGCCUCAAGCCACUGCCCCCUGACAAGUCGCAGCUCUCCAGCCUGUCUCCUCACUCCCCUCCCCUCCACAUGGGGGGGUUGGGGUGGGGGCGGGGAAGGUUCGGGGCAGGGGUCAUUUCAGCUACUGGGCACCAGUCUCCUCCUCAUGUUUAUCCUGUUCCCUUUGCUUGAAAGGUUCGUACUCCAGAUCCUUGUAAAACCGCUUCUCACCCUUUGAGUCUCAGCUUAAAUGUCCCCUCCUUGGAGGGGUCUUCCCUGACAAUGAAGCUCCGACCGUCCUCUCCUGUUUUACCCAGUUCAUUUCUUUCUGGCAUUUGUAACUACUUGAAGUUAAAGUGUGUGCCAUGUAUGUGUCUGUCAGUUUCCCCCACCACACUGGAACCCCAUGAGGGCAAGGGUCUUGUCUGGAAUCUUCCUCACUUACAACUCAACAUUUAGCAAAG